GACGAACCGUCCAAACGUUAUUCGGAAUCACUGGGCUUACAGAGUUCGUAGGCGGUCUGGAAAGUUGGGUGUGAAAUCCCUCGGCUCAACCGAGGAACUGCGCUCAAAACUACCCGACUCGAGGGAGAUAGAGGAAAGCGGAACUGAUGGUGGAGCGGUGAAAUGCGUUGAUAUCAUCAGGAACACCGGUGGCGAAGGCGGCUUUCUGGGUCUUACCUGACGCUGAGGCGACGAAAGCGUGGGGAGCAA
rnacentral:rRNA from 1 species